AGUUGGUGGAGUGAUUUGUCUGCUUAAUUGCGAUAACGAACGAGACCCCCGCCUGCUAAAUAGUUCGCUUAAUGAUUAUUCAUUGAGUAGAGCUUCUUAGAGGGACUUUGCGUGACUAACGCAAGGAAGUUGGGGGCAAUAACAGGU
rnacentral:rRNA from 1 species